rnacentral:hammerhead_ribozyme from 1 species
AUCCAGCUGAGGAGUCUCAAAAUAGGACGAAACACGCGUCCUGAAU